GCGCCUGUAGCUCAGUAGGAUAGAGCAGCGGUUUCCUAAACCGCGGGUCGCGGGUUCGAAUCCUGCCAGGCGCGCCA
rnacentral:tRNA from 1 species